rnacentral:rRNA from 14 species
UUGAAGAGUUUGAUCAUGGCUCAGAUUGAACGCUGGCGGCAGGCUUAACACAUGCAAGUCGAGGGGUAACAGGGUUUUCGGACUGCUGACGACCGGCGCACGGGUGCGUAACGCGUAUGAAACCUACCUUAUACAGGGGGAUAGCCCAGAGAAAUUUGGAUUAAUACCCCAUGGUACUGUGAAUCUGCAUGGAUUUAUAGUUAAAGAUUUAUCGGUAUAAGAUGGUCAUGCGUUCUAUUAGUUAGUUGGUAAGGUAACGGCUUACCAAGACUGCGAUAGAUAGGGGCCCUGAGAGGGGGAUCCCCCACACUGGUACUGAGACACGGACCAGACUCCUACGGGAGGCAGCAGUGAGGAAUAUUGGACAAUGGUGGAGACACUGAUCCAGCCAUGCCGCGUGUAGGAAGACUGCCCUAUGGGUUGUAAACUACUUUUAUAGAGGAAGAAACGCAGAUACGUGUAUUUGUUUGACGGUACUCUACGAAUAAGGAUCGGCUAACUCCGUGCCAGCAGCCGCGGUAAUACGGAGG